rnacentral:rRNA from 1 species
AUGCAGAUGGCAGUGGUGAGUACUCUGUGUUGUGGAGCACUCCAUGGACUAUGGCCUCCAGAGAAGGAUGAUGUUUACAGCUUUGGCAUUGUGAUCAUGGACAUUGUCAGUGGAAGAAAGAAACUCGACACUUGCCGGUCUGAAGAGAGCAUCCAUCUUAUUACCCUAUUGGAUGAAAAAGUUAAGACUGAUCAGUUGGUAAAUUUGAUUGACAAGAACAUUAACGACAUGCAACCACAUGAGAAAGAAGUAAUUCAGAUGAUAAAGCUUGCAAUGUGGUAUCUACAAAUUGAUUGCAAGAGAAGGCCUCAAAUGUCUGAGGUUGUCAAAGUCCUAGAAGGUACUAACAAUACACAGCCUUUAAGAUGUACUCCCUCCGUCCGAGAAAGUUGUCUUCGUGGCAUUUUUGCAAAAAACCCCUCGAAGAAAGUCCGACAGAACCCGCAGUCCAUCAUCCCCUCCGACACCAUUCCUCUCGCGUCGUUCCGCCGUGCCGCUCCACCGCUCUCCCGCGACACGGGCGAUGCCGCGCAGCUCCACCCGCCACGCCGCGCCGCCGCGACCCGCAGCUCCACCACGCAGCUCUACCGCUCCCCCAUCCCUGCCUUUCGAUUUGAGCAGUGGAGAGCAAAAUUUCAUGUUGGGGAGAGCAGCGGUGAGCAAAAUUCUCACCUUUCCUUCCUUUUCCGGUGGAGAAGCUUGGCCGGUUGCCGGGGUGAAGGCGGCGCCCCCAUAGUCCGGGUACUCCUCGUCGUCGUCUUCCAGUUCGCCUACCCCAUCCAAGAAAUAAUCACAUCAGUGAUUCAAGAUUUCAUACUGAGGUUCAUAGGGAUUGCUGAAUUGUCCCUCAACAUUGCAGUAUUGCAAGUUCUUGGUCAGGCUUAUAGGUGUAGAUUGAUGCCAUCUUCUUGGAUUGAUCUUUCAGCAUUGCAAUGUCUAGCUUGCUCAGUGCAUUUUGAUCUUGGAGGUUUCUUUCAGUGUGGAACUGCUGCUGAUGCUGAUGCCGAGAUUGUGAAUGUUGACAGUAGUAAUAACAUUCAGCAGGAGGACAAUUUGAAUUGGACAGCAGGAGAACAAUUUAGAGCAGCAGCACUGAACUUUACCUCUUGCGGCACAGACGGGCAGCAGCAGCGGCGAGGGGUGGGGCGGAAAAAGGCAGUGGCGGCGAGGGGCGUGGCUCGAUCAGGCGCCCGGUCGUCUAGCCGCCGGGCAGACCCGCGUGGCCCUGCCUGCCGAAGCCGCCAGAGAGGAGCGGCGGCCGCGGGCGCGAGGAAGCGGCCUGGGAAGCGGCCUGGGAUCACGGCGGGAGGCUCCGGCGACACGCGGAGGGGAUCUUGGCAGGAGGGGAACGCGCGGAGCGGAUCGUGGCUGGAGGGGAACGCGCGGAGGUGGUCGUGGCGGGAGGGGAAUGCUCCGGCGUGGGUCCUCAGUGGCGGCAGAGCAGUUCCUGGACGGCGCACGUCCUGGCCGGCGCAGGUGAAGAAUCCUACGACGGCACCCGUGACGACGCGCGGAAUCGCGCAGGUGCAGGUGGGUGGCGGCGGUGGAAUCAGAGGCGCAGGUGGCGGGCGGCGACGGCGGAAUCAGAGGCGCAGGUGGGCUCGUGGUGGUGGGCGGCGGCGAAAUCAGCUGGGCGGCGCCUGCCCAGGCGAUGCGCGGGGACGACGGAGGAAGAAGAUGGAGACGGGGAUCUAUUUAAAACUCCGAGGACUUUUUUGCAAAAACACCAGUACACUGCGCGCUGGACAACUUUUUUCGGACGGAGGGAUCCCAAAGAAGUUGGAACCGGGAAGAUGGUCCAGAUCACUGCCGCGGGAGCUCCCCCGGUGCUGA